GCAGCUUGCUGCCGGGGUGAGAGUGGCGAACGGGUGAGUAAUGCGUGACCGACCUGCCCCAUGCACCGGAAUAGCUCCUGGAAACGGGUGGUAAUGCCGGAUGUUCCACAUGAGCGCAUGCGAGUGUGGGAAAGGCUUUUUGCGGCAUGGGAUGGGGUCGCGUCCUAUCAGCUUGUUGGUGGGGUAACGGCCUACCAAGGCGUUGACGGGUAGCCGGCCUGAGAGGGCGACCGGCCACAUUGGGACUGAGAUACGGCCCAGACUCCUACGGGAGGCAGCAGUGGGGAAUAUUGCACAAUGGGCGCAAGCCUGAUGCAGCGACGCCGCGUGCGGGAUGGAGGCCUUCGGGUUGUAAACCGCUUUUGUUCAAGGGCAAGGCACGGUUUCGGCCGUGUUGAGUGGAUUGUUCGAAUAAGCACCGGCUAACUACGUGCCAGCAGCCGCGGUAAUACGUAGGGUGCAAGCGUUAUCCGGAUUUAUUGGGCGUAAAGGGCUCGUAGGCGGUUCGUCGCGUCCGGUGUGAAAGUCCAUCGCUUAACGGUGGAUCCGCGCCGGGUACGGGCGGGCUUGAGUGCGGUAGGGGAGACUGGAAUUCCCGGUGUAACGGUGGAAUGUGUAGAUAUCGGGAAGAACACCAAUGGCGAAGGCAGGUCU
rnacentral:rRNA from 1 species